AACGCGAAGAACCUUACCAAGGCUUGACAUAUACCGGAAACAUGCAGAAAUGUGUGCCCCGCAAGGUCGGUAUACAGGUGGUGCAUGGUUGUCGUCAGCUCGUGUCGUGAGAUGUUGGGUUAAGUCCCGCAACGAGCGCAACCCUCGUUCUAUGUUGCCAGCACGUAAUGGUGGGAACUCAUAGGAGACUGCCGGGGUCAACUCGGAGGAAGGUGGGGAUGACGUCAAAUCAUCAUGCCCCUUAUGUCUUGGGCUUCACGCAUGCUACAAUGGCCGGUACAAAGGGCUGCGAUACCGUAAGGUGGAGCGAAUCCCAAAAAGCCGGUCUCAGUUCGGAUUGAGGUCUGCAACUCGACCUCAUGAAGUCGGAGUCGCUAGUAAUCGCAGAUCAGCAACGCUGCGGUGAAUACGUUCCCGGGUCUUGUACACACCG
rnacentral:rRNA from 1 species